CGUGCGCACGAGCGCACAGCGUAUACGUCCCAUCUGCACGCAUGGCGCAGGGUCAACCCUACGCGCAUCCUGUCGCACGUAGGAGAGUCGUCUACGCAUCACCUCGCGCGCAAACUGGUGUCGCACACUAUGCGUGCCCUGUCCAUGCAACAAGCCUGUGCGGAUAAGUCCCUGUACGCCUGGGGCCUGCACGCAGUAGGCCUAUGCAUGCAGCAGGGUAGGUCAUAUGCUGCAGGCUAGCCUGUAACACGCCGAGCGGGCCACUGCUGCCUCAAAAUGUGCUACCACCCACCUUGGGUGGUACGUCGCCGCCACUAGUGGAGGAGACCUUCUUCCUCCGCUUUUCAUGCCAAACAUCUUUUUCUCUCUCUUCACCAGAUUUUGCCACUUU
rnacentral:lncRNA from 1 species